UACGUAGGGUGCAAGCGUUAAUCGGAAUUACUGGGCGUAAAGCGUGCGCAGGCGGUUAUGUAAGACAGGGGUGAAAUCCCCGGGCUUAACCUGGGAACUGCAUUUGUGACUGCAUAGCUAGAGUACGGCAGAGGGGGAUGGAAUUCCGCGUGUAGCAGUGAAAUGCGUAGAUAUCUGGAGGAAUACCGGUGGCGAAGGCGGCAUCCUGGACCGGCAUUGACGCUGAGGAGCGAAAGCCAGGGGAGCAAACGGG
rnacentral:rRNA from 1 species